UUUAAAUAUUAUAACAUAAAACAUGUUACUGGUAUACCACACAAUCCUACAGGACAAGCAGUGGUUGAGAGAUCUAAUUGUACUUUAAUGGAAAUGCUCUAUAAACAGGCAGGGGGAACCAAGACCCCCCAAAAACAGAUUACAUAAUGCUUUACUAACCUUAAACUUUCUUAAUGCUAAUGAGACAAUAGAAAAAAUUGCUGAGCUAAUUCAGUUGGUGUACUGAUGGGGAAUGUACUGUGUAUGUUUAUCUUAUUGGUUGUUAAAUAAAAUACUGUUUGGCCAAUGAGACAGCAAGUAUAUGGGAGCUAGAAGUCAAAGAGGAUUCUGGGAAAUGUAGUAGAGAAGUGCUGAUCCGGGCAGGAAGUGACAUAGCAAGGAGACUCAUAUUUGAGCGAGGAGCGAGGAGAAAUGGGAAGUUCCCUCUUUCCCCUUUGCCUCCUCCAGCAGCAGGAUGUUAUCCACCAGCAAGGAGGGACGCCAAUAAGGCGUCUGAUAAGUUAAGUCUUAUAAAAUAUAUAGAUGUUUGAUAUUUGAGACUGAGCUAACAGAUGAGAAUCCUAGUCAUUGGCCAAGCAGUUUUGAACCUAAUACAAGUUUCUGUGUAUUCAUUUGGGCCUAACUCAGGCGGGCGGCUGGUGAAAAGCUUACACGUGGCGGUGGGGCUCAGCGGCUUUUGGCGGAAAGAUUUAUUGUAACAGUGUACUUCAAGGAUGCAUUGACUUCUCUAUGGAAACCAGGAUAUGUGUUACAUUGGGGUAAGGGUUUCACCUUUAUUUCUUCAGGUGAAGAAAAGCUUUGGACACCACCAAAUUGAUCAAGAUCUGAUUUGAACAGGAGAAACCUCUUGAUGAGGAGAAAUGAUAGGCCAUCCACCAAUGCAUAUCCAACGAGUUGUAUGGAGACCUCACAAAGUCUCUAGUUCAAGUAAUUUCAUGUCAGGACAAAUCCCACCAAGGAGCACCAAGAAAACAGUACAAGAUGAUAUAUAUAUAUAUAUAAAAGGGCCAAGCGACUAUCACAGAGUGAAAGAACAUGAAAUACUAUGUUGGCAGCAUCAAGAUUCAUCUGAUUGAGGCUCACAAAUGUGCUAAGAAAGAAAUAAGAGAAACAUCACCCUUUACAAUUGCCACAAACUACAUAAAAUGCUUUGGGGUAACGCUAACCAAAAAUUGAAAGGCCUGUAUCAUAAGAAUUUUGAGUCUUUAAAGAAUGAAAUUAAAGAUGAUGCCAUAAAAUGGAAGGAUCUUCCAUGUAACU
rnacentral:lncRNA from 1 species